CCCCUUCCCAUGCCGGUUGCCAGACCCUAUAUUGCCGGUGCCGGCCUCGUGUCGGCUAUGGCGAUAAACGGCCGAUGUAAUAAGCCAUUCGGACCCGGGGGCGGUACCCGGCGCCUCCACCAGAAGCCGCCGCAGGCCAUGCGGAACGAACCACGCGGUUCAGGGCGGUUG
rnacentral:tmRNA from 1 species